UGGGGAAUUUUGGACAAUGGGCGAAAGCCUGAUCCAGCAAUGCCGCGUGUGUGAAGAAGGCCUUCGGGUUGUAAAGCACUUUUGUCCGGAAAGAAAUCCUUGGCUCUAAUACAGUCGGGGGAUGACGGUACCGGAAGAGUAAGCACCGGCUAACUACGUGCCAGCAGCCGCGGUAAUACGUAGGGUGCAAGCGUUAAUCGGAAUUACUGGGCGUAAAGCGUGCGCAGGCGGUUUGCUAAGACCGAUGUGAAAUCCCCGGGCUCAACCUGGGAACUGCAUUGGUGACUGGCAGGCUAGAGUAUGGCAGAGGGGGGUAGAAUUCCACGUGUAGCAGUGAAAUGCGUAGAGAUGUGGAGGAAUACCGAUGGCGAAGGCAGCCCCCUGGGCCAAUACUGACGCUCAUGCACGAAAGCGUGGGGAGCAAACAGGAUUAGAUACCCUGGUAGUCCACGCCCUAAACGAUGUCAACUAGUUGUUGGGGAUUCAUUUCCUUAGUAACGUAGCUAACGCGUGAAGUUGACCGCCUGGGGAGUACGGUCGCAAGAUUAAAAGCUCAAAGGAA
rnacentral:rRNA from 1 species